CGGGAUUAGGGAGCUUGCUCCCUAUGAGAGUGGCGCACGGGUGCGUAACACGUAUGCAACCUACCUUCAACCGGGGGAUAGCCUUCCGAAAGGAAGAUUAAUACCGCAUAACAUUAUGAAAUGGCAUCAUUUUAUAAUCAAAUCUACGGAAGUUGAAGAUGGGCAUGCGUCCGAUUAGCUAGUUGGAGAGGUAACGGCUCACCAAGGCUACGAUCGGUAGGGGAUCUGAGAGGAUGACCCCCCACACUGGUACUGAGACACGGACCAGACUCCUACGGGAGGCAGCAGUAAGGAAUAUUGGUCAAUGGACGCAAGUCUGAACCAGCCAUGCCGCGUGCAGGAAGACGGCCCUAUGGGUUGUAAACUGCUUUUGUCGGGGAAGAAACCCCUCUACGUGUAGAGGGCUGACGGUACUCGAAGAAUAAGGAUCGGCUAACUCCGUGCCAGCAGCCGCGGUAAUACGGAGGAUCCAAGCGUUAUCCGGAUUUAUUGGGUUUAAAGGGUGCGUAGGCGGCGUUGUAAGUCAGUGGUGAAAGUUUUCAGCUUAACUGGAAAAUUGCCAUUGAUACUGCAGUGCUUGAGUAUAGAUGAGGUGGGCGGAAUGUGUCAUGUAGCGGUGAAAUGCAUAGAUAUGACACAGAACACCGAUUGCGAAGGCAGCUCACUAAACUAUAACUGACGCUGANGCACGAAAGCGUGGGGAUCAAACAGGAUUAGAUACCCUGGUAGUCCACGCCCUAAACGAUGAUUACUCGAUGUUAGCGAUAUACUGUUAGCGUCAAAGCGAAAGCGUUAAGUAAUCCACCUGGGGAGUACGCCCGCANGGGUGAAACUCAAAGGAAUUGACGGGGCCCGCACAA
rnacentral:rRNA from 1 species